rnacentral:rRNA from 1 species
CAGUAGCCGCGGUAAAACGAAGGGGGCUAGCGUUGCUCGGAAUUACUGGGCGUAAAGGGAGCGUAGGCGGACAUUUAAGUCAGGGGUGAAAUCCCGGGGCUCAACCUCGGAAUUGCCUUUGAUACUGGGUGUCUUGAGUAUGAGAGAGGUAUGUGGAACUCCGAGUGUAGAGGUGAAAUUCGUAGAUAUUCGGAAGAACACCAGUGGCGAAGGCGACAUACUGGCUCAUUACUGACGCUGAGGCUCGAAAGCGUGGGGAGCAAACAGGAUUAGAUACCCGUGUAGUCCCUGUCUCUUAUAC